rnacentral:rRNA from 1 species
CUCCUGGAUUCAGCGGCGGACGGGUGAGUAAUGCCUAGGAAUCUGCCUGGUAGUGGGGGACAACGUUUCGAAAGGAACGCUAAUACCGCAUACGUCCUACGGGAGAAAGCAGGGGACCUUCGGGCCUUGCGCUAUCAGAUGAGCCUAGGUCGGAUUAGCUAGUUGGUGAGGUAAUGGCUCACCAAGGCGACGAUCCGUAACUGGUCUGAGAGGAUGAUCAGUCACACUGGAACUGAGACACGGUCCAGACUCCUACGGGAGGCAGCAGUGGGGAAUAUUGGACAAUGGGCGAAAGCCUGAUCCAGCCAUGCCGCGUGUGUGAAGAAGGUCUUCGGAUUGUAAAGCACUUUAAGUUGGGAGGAAGGGUUGUAGAUUAAUACUCUGCUGUUUUGACGUUACCGACAGAAUAAGCACCGGCUAACUCUGUGCCAGCAGCCGCGGUAAUACAGAGGGUGCAAGCGUUAAUCGGAAUUACUGGGCGUAAAGCGCGCGUAGGUGGUUUGUUAAGUUGGAUGUGAAAUCCCCGGGCUCAACCUGGGAACUGCAUCCAAAACUGGCAAGCUAGAGUAUGGUAGAGGGUGGGUGGAAUUUCCUGUGUAGCGGUGAAAUGCGUAGAUAUAGGGAAGGAACACCAGUGGCGAAGGCGACCACCUGGACUGAUACUGGACACUGAGGUGCCGAAGCGUGGGGAGCAAACAGGAUUAGAAUACCCUGGUAGUCCACGCCCGUUGAAACGAAUGUCAACUAGCC